CCCUUAGAUGUUCUGGGCCGCACGCGCGCUACACUGACUGGUGCAACAAGUGUCGCUCCUUGGCCGAUAGGCCUGGGCAAUCUUUGAACGCCAGUCGUGAUGGGGAUAGAUUCUUGCAAUUUUUGAUCUUCAACGAGGAAUUCCUAGUAAACGCAAGUCAUCAGCUUGCAUUGAUUACGUCCCUGCCCUUUGUACACACCGCCCGUCGCACCUACCGAUUGAAUGGUCCGGUGAAAUCUCGGGACGGCGGCUUGGUCGCUUGCGUCCGACUGCUGAAACUUGAUUAAACCAUAUCAUUUAGAGGAAGGUGAAGUCGUAACA
rnacentral:rRNA from 1 species